rnacentral:rRNA from 1 species
CAAAUGACUCUCGGCAAUGGAUAUCUCGGCUCUUGCAUCGAUGAAGAACGUAGUGAAAUGCGAUACUUGGUGUGAAUUGCAGAAUCUCGUGAACCAUUGAGUCUUUGAACGCAAGUUGUGCCCGAGGCCUUGUGGCCGAGGGCACGCCUGCUUGGGCGUCAGGG